rnacentral:rRNA from 1 species
CACGUAGGGCGCGAGCGUUGUCCGGAAUUAUUGGGCGUAAAGAGCCCGUAGGCGGCCUGUUGCGUCCGCUGUGAAAGCCCGGGGCUUAACCCCGGGUCGGCAGUGGAUACGGGCAGGCUAGAGGUAGGUAGGGGAGAAUGGAAUUCCCGGUGUAGCGGUGAAAUGCGCAGAUAUCAGGAGGAACACCCGUGGCUAAGGCGGCUCUCUAGUACGGUACUGACGCUGAGACGCGAAAGCGUGGGGAGCGAACAGG